AAUUUCAACUGAAAAAGUCAUCAACAACAAAGUUGUAUAACUCAUCAAGAUCUAUAACUUUUAUUUUGGUCAUUUUUUCAUCCAACAAAGUGAUAGUAACAUUGUUCACAAAAGUUACAUAUUUCUCAUUUGGUUUUAUAAACAAUAAGAUAGAGAUGUAAAUUUUGUGAACAAUGUUACUAUCACUUUGUCGGAUGAAGAAAAGAUCAAAAUUAAAGUUGUAUGUCUUGAUGAAUUCUACAACUUUUAUGUUCAUGACUUUUUCAGCUGAAUUU
rnacentral:pre_miRNA from 1 species